rnacentral:sRNA from 1 species
UGGCUGUUUUGGCUUCUUGUAUAUGUAC